rnacentral:tRNA from 1 species
CCUUCAAUAGCUCAGCUGGUAGAGUGGAGGACUGUAGAUCCUUAGGUCGCUGGUUCAACUCCGGCUCGAAGGA